rnacentral:rRNA from 1 species
GAUGAACGCUAGCGGCAGGCCUAAUACAUGCAAGUCGAGGGGUAGCAGGAUUAAGCUUGCUUAAUUGCUGACGACCGGCGCACGGGUGCGUAACGCGUAUGCAACCUACCUUAUACUGGGGUAUAGCCCGGAGAAAUUCGGAUUAAUCCCCCAUAGUACUAAUGAAUCGCAUGGUUUAUUAGUUAAAGCAUUGCGGUAUAAGAUGGGCAUGCGUCCUAUUAGCUAGAUGGUGAGGUAACGGCUCACCAUGGCUACGAUAGGUAGGGGGCCUGAGAGGGUGGUCCCCCACACUGGUACUGAGACACGGACCAGACUCCUACGGGAGGCAGCAGUGAGGAAUAUUGGUCAAUGGGCGCAAGCUUGAACCAGCCAUGCCGCGUGCAGGAAGAAUGCCCUAUGGGUUGUAAACUGCUUUUAUUUGGGAAUAAACCUCUUUACGUGUAGAGAGCUGAAGGUACCAAAUGAAUAAGCACCGGCUAACUCCGUGCCAGCCGCCGCGGUAA